UGGCGGACGGGUGAGUAACGCGUAGGCAACCUGCCCUUGACACAGGGAUAGCCUCGGGAAACCGGGAUUAAAACCUGAUGACGCCAAACAGUCACAUGGCUGUUUGGCCAAAGAUUUAUCGGUCAAGGAUGGGCCUGCGUCUGAUUAGUUAGUUGGUGGGGUAACGGCCUACCAAGACGACGAUCAGUAGCCGACCUGAGAGGGUGAUCGGCCACAUUGGAACUGAGACACGGUCCAAACUCCUACGGGAGGCAGCAGUGGGGAAUAUUGCACAAUGGGCGAAAGCCUGAUGCAGCAACGCCGCGUGAGCGAUGAAGGCCUUUGGGUCGUAAAGCUCUGUCCUUGGGGAAGAAACAAAUGACGGUACCCAAGGAGGAAGCCCCGGCUAACUACGUGCCAGCAGCCGCGGUAAU
rnacentral:rRNA from 1 species